CGACGUUGCCUCGGCGGGACCGCCCCGGCGCCCUCACCGGCACCGGAACCAGGCGCCCGCCGCAGGGACCCAAACCUACUGUUUUAUUAUGAAUUCUCCUCUGAGUGGAUUUUAUACAAAUAAAUCAAAACUUUCAACAACGGAUCUCUUGGCUCUGGCAUCGAUGAAGAACGCAGCGAAAUGCGAUAAGUAAUGUGAAUUGCAGAAUUCAGUGAAUCAUCGAAUCUUUGAACGCACAUUGCGCCCGCCAGCAUUCUGGCGGGCAUGCCUGUCCGAGCGUCAUUUCAACCCUCAGGCUCCCGCGCCUGGCGUUGGGGAUCGGCCUUCACCGGCCGGCCCCGAAAUACAGUGGCGGCCCCGCCGUAGACCUCCUCUGCGUAGUAGCACACACCUCGCAGCCUGGGAGCGCGGCGGCGGCCACGCCGGAAAACCCCCGACUUCUGAAAGUUGACCUCGGAUCAGGUAGGAAUACCCGCUGAACUUAAGCAUAUCAAUAAGCGGAGGAAAAGAAACCAACAGGGAUUGCCUCAGUAACGGCGAGUGAAGCGGCAACAGCUCAAAUUUGAAAUCUGGCCCCCCGGCCCGAGUUGUAAUUUGCAGAGGAUGCUUUUGGCGAGGUGCCUUCCGAGUUCCCUGGAACGGGACGCCAUAGAGGGUGAGAGCCCCGUCUGGUCGGACACCGAGCCUCUGUAAAGCUCCUUCGACGAGUCGAGUAGUUUGGGAAUGCUGCUCAAAAUGGGAGGUAUAUGUCUUCUAAAGCUAAAUACCGGCCAGAGACCGAUAGCGCACAAGUAGAGUGAUCGAAAGAUGAAAAGCACUUUGAAAAGAGAGUUAAAUAGCACGUGAAAUUGUUGAAAGGGAAGCGUUUAUGACCAGACUUGGCCCGGUUGAUCAUCCAGCGUUCUCGCUGGUGCACUCUGCCGGUCCAGGCCAGCAUCAGUUCGCCGCGGGGGGAAAAAGGCUUCGGGAAUGUGGCUCCCUCCGGGGGAGUGUUAUAGCCCGUUGCGUAAUACCCUGCGGUGGACUGAGGUCCGCGCUCUGCAAGGAUGCUGGC
rnacentral:rRNA from 1 species